UCUCUCUCUCUCUUUCUCUCUCUCUCUCUCAUCCCCAAUUCACCUCUCAGCCGGGCUCCAUGACCACGCCGCUGCCUCGGCACCACCGAUUCCGGUAAGCUCCGGUGCUCUCCCGCGAAGUUUCUCACCAGCCCGUCUGUCCCUCGGCGCUCUCCACCGCGCCCGCACCGCCGCGACGUCCUCCGCAACCCUACUGUUCGCCGCGGGUCGCCGGCGCGGCUGCCGCGCCUCCUCUGGUUUCUGGCUUGGUCUCGGCGGUGUUGCUCUGCCUCGGCUACCUCACCUCCGACAUUGAAGGUUCUGAAAUUGACCUUGCUUCAGCCAACAUGCGUGUGGUCGUUCUGUCUCUUAGCAGGGGUCGAGGCCAUGGCUCACGGCUGGGGCUCAGCACAUCUGAAUCUCCGCUUGUGGUACAUGUCCCCAUAUCUGUUCAGGGUGGCGCUACAAGAUCAAAUCGAAACCAGAUCACAUGGCAGCUCAGUCUGGUAUGUAUAUCAUUCCCAACUGCCAAUUAAUUAUUCUGUGAUGUCUUCUCGUUUACUAAUCAGAGCAUGCUCUUGUCUGUACUAAUUAGAUCAUGCAUUCCUUCAAGGGCCUAGGUAGGUGUGAUGACGAGCACAAGUGGAUUGGAUAGUUGUCCUUCCACCCCCCCCCCCCCCUCUCCCCUUAUGUUCCUUAUAGUUCAUUGUUUUUCGUGUUGUUGCUUCUGCAGGUUCUGAAAAUUCAUUCAUAGGAAAUUCUAACGCGUGACUAUACAUAAUUUUGUAUUUUCCAGAGGUCUCUACAUUAUAUUUUCCAUAAUUUGAAAAUACUUAUCAUUUAAUUUGGAGCUGACGCAAGAUGCCAAAUUUAUUUAGUACAUGGUUAUAAGUUGCAUAAUCUGCAAUGUUGUUUAAUAAACUCAUGUUGAAAACGUUCUUGCCUUUAGAUUAUUAUAAUUAGCCCCACAUCUAUAUCUAUAUCAGAGUCUUCUUAAAUCACAUUUGCGAGCAUUUAUCACACUACCUAAUUUAGGUACAUCCAAAUCUAGCCUGGUGUGAAUUAUUUUCUUUGAACAUAAAGUAUUUUUGAAUUGUGGAAACCUUGCAUCUAUUUGUAUUUUCUGGAAAGCUGCAGAUCUUUCUUUGAAAACGAAGGAUCUGUGAUAUGUCAGCACAUGUUUUUCUUCAAAGGAGGUACCUCAUUUCUUACAUAGUAUGUUCAUUUCAAGGUUUAACUCAAUUAACACACAACAGAUUUGUUCAUAAGAAAGCAAUGAUCAAAAGUAUUUGUCCGAUGUUGGCUGUUACUCUCCUUUUCUGCGUACAAAGCUGCUAAUGUCAUGGCAUUCAACUUCUGUAUGGUGCCCCUCUACAUUUUGUUGCUCUAUUAACCUGAUUUUCUCUACCGUAAGUUACUCAUGUCAUUUUUCGUUUCUGUAGAUUGCCAAGAUAAAUGGAUGAUGCAUGGCUCAGAUGUUGAUUGCAAGGACUAUUAGAUAAUUAGAAUGUCAUUUUCACGAUCAAUGUUUCAAACAUUGUAGUAGAUUGCAAGGUCGAGAAUUAUGAUAAAACUAGAUAGUUUCGCAUCUUGUAAUCUUUGGAUCAUGUUCUAUGCAACGCUACACAAUCGAAUUAAUAUAUGAGGAAGGUUUAUUA